UACGGAGGGUGCAAGCGUUAUCCGGAUUCACUGGGUUUAAAGGGUGCGUAGGUGGGUCUGUAAGUCAGUGGUGAAAUCUCCAAGCUUAACUUGGAAACUGCCGUUGAUACUAUAGACCUUGAAUGCUGUGGAGGUGAGCGGAAUAUGUCAUGUAGCGGUGAAAUGCUUAGAUAUGACAUGGAACACCAAUUGCGAAGGCAGCUCACUACACAAAUAUUGACACUGAGGCACGAAAGCGUGGGGAUCAAACAGG
rnacentral:rRNA from 1 species